AUGAAAUACUUGGAAAGAAAAGCAGUAAGGUGGGCUGCUUUUCAGAGUUCUUACUUAACCAGCCUUCCUUCCAGGAACUCCCCUAGGAGACCUGUUCCACAGUUUCCUGGAGACAAGGAGAUGAAGCAUAAAGGGAACUAUCAGACCCUGGGCAUCUUCCCAGGAGCUAGGUGGUCUCUAGGGUUCAGCCACCAGUUUGCUGGGUUUGGAGUAUUGGUCUCUGCAACAUCCAGGUAAGCUAUGGUGGGUAACACUGACGCUGAUCAAAGACUUUGGGCCCAUUGCUCUUGAACGCAUGGGGCAGCCAGCUGAGGAUCCUCAGCACCGAGAUGCUGGCCCAUCAUAAAUCCAGCUCAGACAUCUCCGUGUUGAACCACGCCCAGUCGUUUUCAGAGCCCCGAGUCUUCCUGAGAGAGGGAUAGGGUAGCCCAGUGACCCUGGCUUUAGCAAAAAGAACCACCUCUUGAAUCAGACAGACCCCAGAGCAGUUCUUCUGAGUGGGGUUCAAGAAAAACAAAGCCCGAGUAACAGUGGGCUUAGCCGGGCUCCGUGAGUUUCAGCGUUUGUCAGCUUUGAGACCCUAUGCAAGGCCUCGUGAUCCUGAUAUGCCAAGGCAGGUAAUGGGUGAGGCACCACCGACCCCGGAGCAGGUGCAACGAGUGUUCCUCCGUGCCUCCAGCAUUGCAAAUUCUUCAUUUCGGGUUCUUUAAUCCCCUCCUUAGGAGUCUGCCACUGAUGUCACUACUAUCUUCUCAGCAGCUCUGUGGAUGCAUCUUUUCCCCCUUGGUUAGUGUCUUGUUUAGCUUGCUCAGACACACAGGACAAGCAUUUAGAAAGUUGACGUUACUCAUCUCUUGCUGGUAAGACCCUGACUGUGAGAGGGUUUGUUUGUUUUUAAGCUAAUGAAACAAUGAUCGGAACAUCUUCCUGCCGAAGUCCCAGGAUGUAACCAAUUUACCAGAGUUGCCCCCAACAUCAUGGGUGAAGUAUGAAGACAGCCCUAUAUUGGGUAAGGGGUCAGCCUUUAUUUGUCCCCUCUGGGUCCACUAACCUUCAGCCUCCUCCGUUUUUCAGGGGCCAGUGAUUUAAUUUCUUAAUUGUUUUCUCUUUUUGAAUGUCUCCCGUCUAUUUCACUAUCUCUUCCUACCACCAGAUGGUGGAA
rnacentral:lncRNA from 12 species